UACAGAGGUCCCGAGCGUUGUUCGGAUUCACUGGGCGUAAAGGGUGCGUAGGCGGUCGGGUAAGUCUGAUGUGAAAUCUCACAGCUUAACUGUGAAACUGCAUUGGAUACUAUUCGGCUUGAGAGUUGGAGGGGGGGACUGGAAUUCUUGGUGUAGCAGUGAAAAUGCGUAGAUAUCAGGAGGAACACCGGUGGCGAAGGCGGGGUCUCUGGGGCCCGAUACUGA
rnacentral:rRNA from 1 species